rnacentral:rRNA from 1 species
UACGAAGGUGGCAAGCGUUGUUCGGAUUUACUGGGCGUACAGGGAGCGUAGGCGGUUGGGUAAGCCCUCCGUGAAAUCUCCGGGCCUAACCCGGAAAGUGCGGAGGGGACUGCUCGGCUAGAGGAUGGGAGAGGAGCGCGGAAUUCCCGGUGUAGCGGUGAAAUGCGUAGAUAUCGUAAGGAAGACCAGUGGCGAAGGCGGGUCUCUGGACAGUUCCUGACACUGAGGCACGAAGGCCAGGGGAGCAAACGGG